GGGGAAUAUUGGACAAUGGGCGAAAGCCUGAUCCAGCCAUGCCGCGUGUGUGAAGAAGGUCUUCGGAUUGUAAAGCACUUUAAGUUGGGAGGAAGGGUAGUAACCUAAUACGUUGCUACUUUGACGUUACCGACAGAAUAAGCACCGGCUAACUUCGUGCCAGCAGCCGCGGUAAUACGAAGGGUGCAAGCGUUAAUCGGAAUUACUGGGCGUAAAGCGCGCGUAGGUGGUUCAGUAAGUUGGAAGUGAAAUCCCCGGGCUCAACCUGGGAACUGCUUUCAAAACUGCUGAGCUAGAGUACGGUAGAGGGUGGUGGAAUUUCCUGUGUAGCGGUGAAAUGCGUAGAUAUAGGAAGGAACACCAGUGGCGAAGGCGACCACCUGGACUGAUACUGACACUGAGGUGCGAAAGCGUGGGGAGCAAACA
rnacentral:rRNA from 1 species